rnacentral:rRNA from 1 species
AUACGUAGGUGGCAAGCGUUGUCCGGAAUUAUUGGGCGUAAAGCGCGCGCAGGCGGUCCUUUAAGUCUGAUGUGAAAGCCCACGGCUCAACCGGGGAGGGUCAUUGGAAACUGGGGGACUUGAGUGCAGAAGGGGAAAGUGGAAUUCCAAGUGUAGCGGUGAAAUGCGUAGAGAUUUGGAGGAACACCAGUGGCGAAGGCGACUUUCUGGUCUGUAACUGACGCUGAGGCGCGAAAGCGUGGGGAGCAAACAGGAUUAGAUACCCUGGUAGUCCACGCCGUAAACGAUGAGUGCUAAGUGUUAGGGGGUUUCCGCCCCUUAGUGCUGCAGCUAACGCAUUAAGCACUCCGCCUGGGGAGUACGGUCGCAAGACUGAAACUCAAAUGAAUUGACGGGG